rnacentral:rRNA from 1 species
CCUACGGGUGGCAGCAGUAGGGAAUAUUGCUCAAUGGGGGAAACCCUGAAGCAGCAACGCCGCGUGGAGGAUGAAGGUUUUCGGAUUUUAAACUCCUUUUGUUAGAGAAGAUAAUGACGGUAUCUAACGAAUAAGCACCGGUUAACGCCGUGCCAGCAGCCGCUGUAAUACGGAGGGUGGAAGCGUUACUCGGAAUGAUUGGGGGUAAAGAGCGCGUAGGCGGGAUAGCAAGUCAGAUGUGAAAUCCUAUGGCUUAACCAUAGAACUGCAUUUGAAAAUGUUAUUCUAGAGUAUGGGAGAGGUAGGUGGAAUUCGUGGUGUAGCGGUAAAAUCCGUAGAGAUCAAGAGGAAUACUCAUUGCGAAGGCGGCCUGCUAGAACAUAACUGACGCUGAUGCGCGAAAGCGUGGGGAGCAAACAGGAUUAGAUACCCUAGUAGUC